ACAUGUCCUUUUGAUUAUAAUUUAAGGUCUAGCCUGCCCAAUGAUGUAGAGUUAAAUGGCCGCGGUAUUUUGACCGUGCAAAGGUAGCAUAAUCAUUAGUUUUUUAAUUGAAAGCUGGUAUGAAAGGUUGGAUGAGAAAAUUACUGUCUCUAUUUAAGUUUUAUAGAAUUUUAUUUUUAAGUUAAAAAGCUUAAAUUUUUAUUGAAGACGAGAAGACCCUAUAGAGUUUUAUACUUAUUUUAAAUUAAAAAUUUUAGUAUAAAGUUUUUUUAUUUUAGGGUAAGUAUUUGGUUGGGGUGAUUGAAAAAUUGAGUAAACUUUUUUUUAAAAAAAAUCAUUGAUUUAUGAAUAUAUGAUCCUUAUUUAAAGAUUAAAAGAUUAAAUUACCUUAGGGAUAACAGCGUAAUUUUUUUUUAGAGUUCUAAUCGAAAAAAAAGGUUGCGACCUCGAUGUUGGAUUAAAAUUUAUUUUUGGUGUAGAAGCUAAAAUAUUAGGUCUGUUCGACCUUUAAAAUUUUACAUGAUCUGAGUUUAAACCGGU
rnacentral:rRNA from 1 species